rnacentral:rRNA from 1 species
AGUGAACGCUGGCGGUAGGCCUAACACAUGCAAAUCGAACGGCAGCACAGUAAGAGCUUGCUCUUACGGGUGGCGAGUGGCGGACGGGUGAGGAAUACAUCGGAAUCUACUUUUUCGUGGGGGAUAACGUAGGGAAACUUACGCUAAUACCGCAUACGACCUACGGGUGAAAGCAGGGGAUCUUCGGACCUUGCGCGAUUGAAUGAGCCGAUGUCGGAUUAGCUAGUUGGCGGGGUAAAGGCCCACCAAGGCGACGAUCCGUAGCUGGUCUGAGAGGAUGAUCGGCCACACUGGAACUGAGACACGGUCCAGACUCCUACGGGAGGCAGCAGUGGGGAAUAUUGGACAAUGGGCGCAAGCCUGAUCCAGCCAUACCGCGUGGGUGAAGAAGGCCUUCGGGUUGUAAAGCCCUUUUGUUGGGAAAGAAAAGCAGCAGGUUAAUACCCCGCUGUUCUGACGGUACCCAAAGAAUAAGCACCGGCUAACUUCGUG